rnacentral:rRNA from 1 species
CGGAGGAUCCAAGCGUUAUCCGGAAUCAUUGGGUUUAAAGGGUCCGUAGGCGGUUUGAUAAGUCAGUGGUGAAAGCCCAUCGCUCAACGAUGGAACGGCCAUUGAUACUGUCAGACUUGAAUUACUGGGAAGUAACUAGAAUAUGUAGUGUAGCGGUGAAAUGCUUAGAUAUUACAUGGAAUACCAAUUGCGAAGGCAGGUUACUACCAGUGGAUUGACGCUGAUGGACGAAAGCGUGGGGAGCGAACAGGAUUAGAUACCCUGGUAGUCCACGCCGUAAACGAUGGAUACUAGCUGUUCGGGGCAAUCUGAGUGGCUAAGCGAAAGUGAUAAGUAUCCCACCUGGGGAGUACGUUCGCAAGAAUG